CAGUAGCCGCGGUAAUACAGAGGGUGCGAGCGUUAAUCGGAUUUACUGGGCGUAAAGCGUGCGUAGGCGGCUUUUUAAGUCGGAUGUGAAAUCCCUGAGCUUAACUUAGGAAUUGCAUUCGAUACUGGGAAGCUAGAGUAUGGGAGAGGAUGGUAGAAUUCCAGGUGUAGCGGUGAAAUGCGUAGAGAUCUGGAGGAAUACCGAUGGCGAAGGCAGCCAUCUGGCCUAAUACUGACGCUGAGGUACGAAAGCAUGGGGAGCAAACAGGAUUAGAUACCCCGGUAGUCUCUGUCUCUUAUAC
rnacentral:rRNA from 1 species